GAUGAACGCUGGCGGCGUGCCUAAUACAUGCAAGUCGAGCGAACAGACGAGGAGCUUGCUCCUUUGACGUUAGCGGCGGACGGGUGAGUAACACGUGGAUAACCUACCUAUAAGACUGGGAUAACUUCGGGAAACCGGAGCUAAUACCGGAUAAUAUAUUGAACCGCAUGGUUCAAUAGUGAAAGACGGUUUUGCUGUCACUUAUAGAUGGAUCCGCGCCGCAUUAGCUAGUUGGUAAGGUAACGGCUUACCAAGGCAACGAUGCGUAGCCGACCUGAGAGGGUGAUCGGCCACACUGGAACUGAGACACGGUCCAGGCUCCUACGGGAGGCAGCAGUAGGGAAUCUUCCGCAAUGGGCGAAAGCCUGACGGAGCAACGCCGCGUGAGUGAUGAAGGUCUUCGGAUCGUAAAACUCUGUUAUUAGGGAAGAACAAAUGUGUAAGUAACUAUGCACGUCUUGACGGUACCUAAUCAGAAAGCCACGGCUAACUACGUG
rnacentral:rRNA from 1 species